rnacentral:pre_miRNA from 1 species
UCUCUGUCUCCUGUACCCUCAUCGUCGUUGUCGGUCUUCCCAACGCUGAGGGGCCAUGAGACAGUGAGUC